UUCAAAACAUAACAGAGAAUGACUCGAGAACUAAAUUUUUAACAAAUUCAACAACGCGGAGACAAAAUACAGGCGAAUUUCUAGUGAACGCAGCUAGUCUUUGUUGCUAUAUCGCGUCAAUGGAAGGAAAGCAGCAGCAACAGCAGAAAUGAAUAAAUGAAAAUGAAAGAAUAGCGGUGAUCUGAAUGGAAUGAAAACGGAGUUUGCAGCUUCGGUAAAGUAUUGUUUUUGGGAUCAGACCAAAGCGCUCAUCUCAACAUAAUCACCAACAACAACUUCAACACGAACGUAACCAAAUUGAAUACCCGUAGAAUAAAAAACUCAUCCAUCUCAACAGUCAUGAUUGCCCACGAAGUUAGGUGUGUCUGCUAGAGGGAACGAAAGGGACAAAAAUAAUUGAGCCGACUGCGAUUCCGAUGAAGAAAUUUGUAGCUGACGGGAGUUUACUGAUGACUGUAUAAUCGCUGCGAAUAGUAUACAUCAACAGUGCACAAUUGUAUGAAUUUAUUAUAAAUAAAUAUUU